rnacentral:rRNA from 1 species
CCUACGGGUGGCAGCAGUGAGGAAUAUUGGUCAAUGGGCGCGAGCCUGAACCAGCCAAGUAGCGUGAAGGAUGACUGCUCUACGGGUUGUACCCUUCUUUUCUAAAGGCAUAAAGUGAGGCUCGUCCGCAUUAAUGUAUGUCCUUUAUGAAUAAGGCUCGGCUACCUCCGUGACAGCAGCCGCGGUAAUACGGAGGAUUCGAGCGUUAUCCGGAUUUAUUGGGUUUAAAGGGAGUGUAGAUGGGUUGAUAAGUCAGUUGUGAAAGUUCGCGGCUCAACCGUAAAAUUGCAAUUGAUACUGGCAUUCUUGAGUACAGUAGAGGUAGGCGGAAUUCGGUGUGUAGCGGUGAAAUGCUUAGAUAUCACGAAGAACACCGAUUGCGAAGGCAGCUUACUAAACUGCCACUGACAUUGAGGCGCGAAAGUGUGGGUAUCAAACAGGAUUAGAUACCCGGGUAGUC